CCAGGGCUACACACGUGCUACAAUGGCGCAUACAAAGAGAAGCGACCUCGCGAGAGCAAGCGGACCUCAUAAAGUGCGUCGUAGUCCGGAUUGGAGUCUGCAACUCGACUCCAUGAAGUCGGAAUCGCUAGUAAUCGUGGAUCAGAAUGCCACGGUGAAUACGUUCCCGGGCCUUGUACACACCGCCCGUCACACCAUGGGAGUGGGUUGCAAAAGAAGUAGGUAGCUUAACCUUCGGGAGGGCGCUUACCACUUUGUGAUUCAUGACUGGGGUGAAGUCGUAACAAGGUAACCGUAGGGGAACCUGCGGUUGGA
rnacentral:rRNA from 3 species